AACGAACGCUGGCGGCAUGCCUAAUACAUGCAAGUCGAACGAGACCUUCGGGUCUAGUGGCGCACGGGUGCGUAACGCGUGGGAACCUGCCCUUAGGUUCGGAAUAACUCCCCGAAAGGGGUGCUAAUACCGGAUAAUGUCUUCGGACCAAAGAUUUAUCGCCUUUGGAUGGGCCCGCGUUGGAUUAGCUAGUUGGUAGGGUAAAAGCCUACCAAGGCGACGAUCCAUAGCUGGUCUGAGAGGAUGUUCAGCCACACUGGGACUGAGACACGGCCCAGACUCCUACGGGAGGCAGCAGUGGGGAAUAUUGGACAAUGGGCGAAAGCCUGAUCCAGCAAUGCCGCGUGAGUGAUGAAGGCCUUAGGGUUGUAAAGCUCUUUUACCCGGGAUGAUAAUGACAGUACCGGGAGAAUAAGCUCCGGCUAACUCCGUG
rnacentral:rRNA from 1 species